UGAGCUGUGGCUCAGUGGUAGAGCACUUGCCCCACAUGUAGGAGGCCCUGGGUUCAAGCCUCAGCAUCACUU
rnacentral:tRNA from 1 species